rnacentral:rRNA from 1 species
AUGAACGCUGGCGGCGUGCCUAAUACAUGCAAGUCGAGCGAACAGACGAGGAGCUUGCUCCUCUGACGUUAGCGGCGGACGGGGGAGUAACACGUGGAUAACCUACCUAUAAGACUGGGAUAACUUCGGGAAACCGGAGCUAAUACCGGAUAAUAUAUUGAACCGCAUGGUUCAAUAGGGAAAGACGGUUUUGCUGGCACUUAUAGAUGGAUCCGCGCCGCAUUAGCUAGUUGGUAAGGUAACGGCUUACCAAGGCAACGAUGCGUAGCCGACCUGAGAGGGUGAUCGGCCCCACUGGAACUGAGACACGGUCCAGACUCCUACGGGAGGCAGCAGUAGGGAAUCUUACGCAAUGGGCGAAAGCUUGACGGAGCAACGCCGCGUGAGUGAUGAAGGUCUUCGGAUCGUAAAACUCUGUUAUUAGGGAAGAACAAAUGUGUAAGUAACUAUGCACGUCUUGACGGUACCUAAUCAGAAAGCCACGGCUAACUACGUG